AUGGGCACCGCCGCGCGCCCGCGCGGCGCCCCCGAGCCGCUGAAGCAGCGCGUGAACCGCUGCCUCCUCCGGCUCUCGGACCGCGACACCGAGGCCAUGGCGGCGGCCGAGCUCGACGCCAUCGCGCGCGCCCUGGCCGCGGACGAGCUCGCGGCCUUCGUCUCCGCCGUCUCCGACGCGCGCCCCACCGACAAGACCCCGCUCCGGCGCCACUCGCUCCGCCUCCUCGCGCUCGUCGCCGCGUCGCACCCGCGCGAGGCCGUCGCGCCGCUCGUCCCGCGCAUCCUCGCCGCGGCGCUCCGCCGCGUCCGCGACCAGGACUCGUCCGUGCGCGGCGCGCUCGUCGACGCCGCCCGCGCCGCCGCGGCGGCCUCCGCCUCCGCCGCCGCCGCGCUCGGCCCCCUCGCGGACGCGCUCCUACACGAGCAGGACCAGUGCGCGCAGCUCGCGGCCGCGCUCGCCACCGUCGCCGCCGUCGAGGCCUCCCCGCUCACCGCCGACCUCGCCUCCUACCUCCACAAGCUCCAGCCCCGCCUCCUCAAGCUCCUCCGCAGCAAUGCCUUCAAGGCCAAGCCCGCCCUCAUCGCCCUCAUCGGCGCCUCCGCGGCCGUGGCCGGCGACGCCGAAGUGACCGCCUCCAUCCCGUGCCUCCGCGAGGCAAUCGCCAGCGACGACUGGGCGGCGAGGAAGGCCGCGGCUGAGGCGCUAGCCGCAUUCGCCCUAGAAUACAAGGAUCUUCUCAUGACCUACAAAUCCUCUUGCCUUGCCUAUUUUGAGGCCAGGAGGGUCGAUAAGGUCAAGAUUGUGCGGGACUCGAUGAGCAGGAUGAUCGAGGCGUGGAAAGAGAUACCAGACAUCGAAGAGGAAGAAUUAUCCUCGUGUACGGCGCCGGCGUCACUUUCACAACGAAGAUCUUCUCUCGCAGGGAGUGUAAGUGAUGGGAGAUAUCCAGCUGCUUCCUUAGGCUCAAAUUCCGUUCAAUCGGCGACAAGGAAGAAUAGAUUACCUACGAGCAGGUCGCCUCCUCCUGAUGUGUCACCCGGUGUCACAAGAAAGCACAGCCCCUCAUCCAUCAGAAACAAGAGGCUGUCACCGCCUUCAGACCGCAAGGUAGGCCAAGCGAAGAACUGCGACUACAAGGUUGACACUGCAAUUGCACCUGAUGCUACCCCGAUCAAAGAGGUGACGGAGGAGAAGCUUCUGAAAGGAGGCAAUCUGAGAUCUAGGCUGGAAACAAGGAGGGCGCUUUUCCAGGGCAACGAAGAGAGGGCAACCAAGUUGGCUGGAGCGAAAGCUGGCUCGCGAGUUGUUCCGUAUGAAUGUGGUGGUAACAUGGAAGAGAUUUCUGAGGUUGAAGGUGGUUCAGAGAGGGCUCAGUCAGGUCUCAAAGACGAGGGCUUAUCAGAGAUAAGGUCGCAGCUGCUUCAGAUUGAAAAACAGCAGACUGGUUUACUUGACCUUCUCCAGAAAUUUAUGGGGAAAUCUGAGAAUGGCAUGAAUUCUUUGGAGACAAGGGUCCAUGGCCUAGAGAUGGCAUUGGAUGAGAUAUCACGUGACUUGGCCGUUUCUUCUGAAAGGAUGUCAAGCAGUGAGCCCCGUGUGAACACCUGUUGCAUUCUGAGCCCAAAAUUCUGGAGAAGGCAUGAUGGUGGUAGAAACUCUUCCAGGUUUUCUGCCUCCAGUGUUCCAAACAGCUCGGAAGGGAGCAGAACUUCUUACAAGUGGGAAAGGCAGAAGUUUGGAGUUCAGGGUGGAUUUGUCACCAACCCGUUAGCUGAGCCAAAUAUUUCUUCUGUUGGGAGAACUGCGAUCACUCAAGAAGGCAGGAGGAAGGAUUUGGCUCUACAGAAGUCAAGGGUUGGUUAG
rnacentral:rRNA from 1 species